CCUUAGUAAUCCCCGGAUCUUGGGCAUGCCAAGAACUUGCACAAUCACAUCACAAGAAAAGUCAUAUGCUCAAUGUAGGAUAAGCUAUUGAUGGAAGGAAGGUCAGUGGGCUCUUCGCCAUGGCCAAGAUACGUCUUCACUGAAACUCCCGGAGGUCUCGUUCAACUUGUGAAAGUCUAAGCCCACCUUGGCUCCUGGAAGAUUGGCGACGAAGAAAUCAUCUCCAUGAUGGCGAAGGCCGGAUAGCGGCCCAGUCCAGCAAGUUAGGUGUCAUCAUCCCAAAAUGAAGCCUCAUGCAAUUGGUGGAGGAAGACCAAAAGCAUAGCUCCACAAUGACGAGAGAUGGGUCGCAAGGAAAGGGCUUCCUGCACAUAGAGCAAUGUGUCAUAUAUUCCGAUUUUCUUCCAAUGGCCCUUCAAUGUUGGUUCUAAUGCCUUGAACCAAUGAUACCAAUCAAAUUUGCCUUAUGCCGAGCUUGAGUGGUCGAAUUUCCAGGUGACGGAUGAUGCUUUCUUUGAUGGGGCCUCUUUAGUUGCGGUGGGAUCCAUUUUGAGGGGGGGUUCUUGUCCGCUAACCUUUGAAUGGCUUGGAGCUAUCCCAAAUGGUUGCCCAUGUAAAGUCGGAGAAAUAGGUUGGGCCAUUUCUCGGUUGCGUCUCCCACACCUUCGCCAACUCCUAGAGAUAGGCAGAGAAAAAUGGGCCAAGAAUAUAUUUGGCAGAGUUAGGAAAGGCAUUGAGAAAGCAGGUGAAUACUUGCUUGCCCAAAUCUUUGUCCAUGGUGAUUUUCAUAUCUUCAAAAAAUUGGGCACUAUCGUUUGGAAUGGAUUCCAUCCUACAAACAUGAAGUAAAAUCGAAUCAAAGAAAAGUAUACUAAAGAAAGUUAAAUUCGAAUCAAGAACGCGAAGAACAUCAUAGCACUAUUCAUACAUUCAAAGUUUCAAGUAUAAACUUUUGAAGGCUACCAAUGCAUCAAAAUCAUGACAAAAUCAACCAAGAAUUAGUGCAAUGUGCCUAGAAACUUGCAAAUCUCAAGUUUGACGUCAAUUCAGGUGGAUUCGGUGUAUGAAAUGAUGAAUGUGAAGAUAAAGAGGAUAUGAGUUUUGAGAGAAAACCUUCUAAAAAGCUAUGGCUAUGGUGGAAAUGUUUUAUGUGAAAAUGAAAGAGUCCCUCCAAUUUAAUUGGUGUUUGUAAUACCUAGGGGUUUUAAUGGAUAUGAAGUUUAAAAGUCCCUCCAAUUUAAUUGGUGUCUUCUUAAAUUCGAACCUGGUUGAAAAUUUAAAUAAUGUGCAAGGCAAGCAAAGAGUUUCAAAAUUCAAAAAUUGAGAGGUUUUGAGUUUCGAUUUGCUUAGCUCUACACCACUUCCGAGCCAAGCAAGUUGAGGGGGCAAUGUUUGGGGGUGGUAAGAAUUCGCCCAAGCUAGACACCUUCCAAAAAUGCAAGCGGCCGGAUUAAAGGAGCAUGAACGUCGGGCUACAAUCAAGGGCAAUUGGGUGGAUGAAGCUGUGCAGCCAGAUUCGAAGUCCUAGGAUCUUGCAAGUAGGUGGCCGAGCAUAAAAGAUUGUCUGCCGGGUGGAGCUUGGGCUUGCAGGUCACGAUCGGAUAAUUUGAAUAUAGCUAAAGUGUUGCAGCUGGAUAUUUCGAAUAUGGCUGGAAUGAGAUUCGGCUGAGAUAUGGUUGGAAGGCACGGCUGGGCUGGAGUGAGAUGCGGCCAUGCUUUGUUUGAGUGAGGCCGGGUUUCAAAGAAUUGCUACGAUCAAGUCUGCUAGGAGGCUUGGUGUUUUUGGCGACAAAAAGCCGCAGGUUUUUUGGGCAAGAGUCUUGGGGGUUUUCGUGGAGGCUAGAGUCUGUAGGUAUUUUGCAAGUCAGCUG
rnacentral:lncRNA from 1 species